GGGGGCAACCCUGGUGGCGAGUGGCGAACGGGUGAGUAAUACAUCGGAACGUGCCCUGUCGUGGGGGAUAACUAGUCGAAAGAUUAGCUAAUACCGCAUACGACCUGAGGGUGAAAGCGGGGGACCGUAAGGCCUCUCGCGACAGGAGCGGCCGAUGUCUGAUUAGCUAGUUGGUGGGGUAAAAGCCUACCAAGGCGACGAUCACUAGCUGGUCUGAGAGGACGAUCAGCCACACUGGGACUGAGACACGGCCCACACUCCUACGGGAGGCAGCAGUGGGGAAUUUUGGACAAUGGGGGCAACCCUGAUCCACCAAUGCCGCGUGUGUGAAGAAGGCCUUCGGGUUGUAAAGCACUUUUGUCCGGAAAGAAAUGGCUCUGGUUAAUACCCGGGGUC
rnacentral:rRNA from 1 species